rnacentral:rRNA from 1 species
UACGUAGGGGGCAAGCGUUGUCCGGAAUCAUUGGGCGUAAAGAGCGUGUAGGCGGCCCGAUAAGUCCGCUGUGAAAGUCCAGGGCUCAACCCUGGGAUGCCGGUGGAUACUGUCGGGCUCGAGUCCGGAAGAGGAGUGUGGAAUUCCUGGUGUAGCGGUGAAAUGCGUAGAUAUCUGGAGGAACACCGGUGGCGAAGGCGGCAUCCUGGACCGGUAUUGACGCUGAGGAGCGAAAGCCAGGGGAGCAAACGGG